AGAGUUUGAUCAUGGCUCAGGACGAACGCUGGCGGCGUGCUUAACACAUGCAAGUCACGGGGGCCCGCAAGGGCAACCGGCGAACGGGUGCGUAACACGUGAGCAAUCUGCCUAGAUGAGGGGGAUAGCCGGCCCAACGGCCGGGUAAUACCGCAUACGUUCAUGGAGAGGAGUCUCUCGAUGAGGAAACCUCCGGGGCAUCUAGAGGAGCUCGCGGCCUAUCAGCUAGUUGGCGGGGUAACGGCCCACCAAGGCGACGACGGGUAGCUGGUCUGAGAGGAUGGCCAGCCACAUUGGGACUGAGAGACGGCCCAGACUCCUACGGGAGGCAGCAGUGGGGAAUCUUGCGCAAUGGCCGAAAGGCUGACGCAGCGACGCCGCGUGUGGGAGGACGCCCUUCGGGGUGUAAACCACUGUUGCCCGGGACGAACAUCCCUUUUCGAGGGGACUGACGGUACCGGGUGAGGAAGCACCGGCUAACUCCGUGCCAGCAGCCGCGGUAAUACGGAGGGUGCGAGCGUUGUCCGGAAUCACUGGGCGUAAAGGGCGCGUAGGCGGCGCGAGCAGUCAACGGUGAAAGCCCGGGGCUCAACCCCGGGUCGGCCGUCGAUACUCUCGUGCUGGAGCACUGUAGAGGCAGGUGGAAUUCCGGGUGUAGCGGUGGAAUGCGUAGAGAUCCGGAAGAACACCGGUGGCGAAG
rnacentral:rRNA from 1 species